GUGUCAGCAGCCGCGGUAAUACGGAGGGUGCUAGCGUUGUUCGGAAUUACUGGACGUAAAGGGCGUGUAGGCGGUCCGCCAAGUCAGAUGUGAAAGCCCUUGGCUUAACCAAGGAAUUGCAUUUGAUACUGGCGAGCUAGAGUACGGGAGAGGGAGGUGGAAUUCCUGGUGUAGCGGUGAAAUGCGUAGAUAUCAGGAGGAACACCGGUGGCGAAGGCGGCCUCCUGGACCGAUACUGACGCUGAGACGCGAAAGCGUGGGUAGCAAACAGGAUUAGAUACCCCCGUAGUCC
rnacentral:rRNA from 1 species